UACGUAGGGUCCGAGCGUUGUCCGGAAUUAUUGGGCGUAGAGCUCGUAGGCGGCGUGUCGCGUCUGCUGUGAAAGACCGGGGCUUAACUCCGGUUCUGCAGUGGAUACGGGCAUGCUAGAGGUAGGUAGGGGAGACUGGAAUUCCUGGUGUAGCGGUGAAAUGCGCAGAUAUCAGGAGGAACACCGGUGGCGAAGGCGGGUCUCUGGGCCUUACCUGACGCUGAGGAGCGAAAGCAUGGGGAGCGAACAG
rnacentral:rRNA from 1 species